rnacentral:rRNA from 1 species
UCUGCCUGGUAGUGGGGGACGAACGUUUCGAAAGGAACGCUAAUACCGCAUACGUCCUACGGNGAAAGCAGGGACCUUCGGGCCUUGCGCUAUCAGAUGAGCCUAGGUCGGAUUAGCUAGUUGGUGAGGUAAUGGCUCACCAAGGCGACGAUCCGUAACUGGUCUGAGAGGAUGAUCAGUCACACUGGAACUGAGACACGGUCCAGACUCCUACGGGAGGCAGCAGCG